ACGCUUUGGCAGCACGUAUACUAAAGUUGGAAUGAUACAGAGAAGACUAGCAUGGCCCCUGUGAAAGGAUGACAUGCAAAUUCAUGAGGUGUUCCAUAUUUUA
rnacentral:snRNA from 1 species